AAUUGUUGAGACAAGAAAUGAGAGGGAAGAGAGGGGAAGGAGAAGUAAAAAGAAUUAAGCUGUGUUACGUACCAACUCCUUGCAAGGGAUGCCUUCUGCAUCUUUAUUAGUAAAUCUUCUUUCAGCUUUACUCAUCCCUUUCGUAUUUGGAGAAACAAAUAAGGUUUGCUGGACAAACAGAAUUUGUUGUUAAUGAAACAAGCACAACAGUUAUUCAUUUUAUCAUUGAAAAAAUAGGAGAACCAGCAAAUGUUACUGCACUUGUAUCGCUGCAUGGGGAAGAUACUGGUGACUUUUUUGACACAUAUGCUGCAGCUUUUAUACCUGCUGGAGAAACAAACAGGACAGUGUACAUAGCAGUGUGUGAUGAUGGCCUGCCAGAGCCAGAUGAGACUUUUACUUUUCACUUAACAUUACAGAAACCUUCAGCAAAUGUGAAACUUGGAUGGCCAAGGAAUGUUACUAUAACAAUAUUAUCAAAUGACAAUGCAUUUGGAGUUAUUUCAUUUAACAUGGUAUGGUUACAGUUUGAUGAGUCUCAUAGUUGUUAGGUAGUAGUACAUUAAUUUUUGAUUAUUUUUCAUGUUAGCUCAUGUCAUCCUGUCUUUUGACAUUUAAAUAAAACUUGCAUUAAGCCCAUCCUGUCCCACAUUCUGUAGACCUUUCAUUUGUUUUACCUAAGACGUUUGCAAAUUGAAGAGGCUUCCAUGAUCAUGGUCAUCCCUUUUCGUAAUUUCUUUCUGAUGAUCAUUCCUUCUGACUCAUUUGUUCCCUAUUUUGGUCUGUAGCUCUAAUGUGCCUUUUGCUCGAUUCCUCCAAAUACCACUUCAAUAAAGCACUAUCUCUUUAUUAGGCCCUUCUGAAUGUUUGGGGUGACAAUGAAAUGAGAAACUACAUCAAAAGAAUACCAAACACCUACAGCACUUAAAAUUUGGUAGCAGAUGUUACAGCUCUGCAAAGUUCUAGAGUCAGUGCAUGCCCUAACAUUUUCCGGCUGAUACAUGCUUUAUGAACUCCACGACCCCUGUACCCCCAGUUUCACUUUACUUUGUCUCCCUUAAUACCAAAGUCCUGUCUUAUGCUUCUGGCCAGUCUCAUGUUCAGAAGAUUUUAGUUUUUGAAACAAACAUAGAAGAUGGGUCCCUUCUUGAGAGGAUUGUUUCCAGCUCUUAAAAUAAAACAAAACAAAACAUUUAUAAGCUAAGUUUUAGGCUACAGUAACCUUCCUGACAGUCUUUUGAAAAAAUAUUACAGAGUAUCAUUAUGGCAUGAUGCCAUACUUCCCAGCUUUUCAGUUAUUUUCUAGUUUAGAUCACUGUUAUGAUUCAUUGUUUUUUACGUUGUUUUCUUAGUUCCUUAUCUUUGAAUUACAGUGAGCUAUAUGAGUUUUACAGUUGAAUUAUCUUCAUUGAAAAGAGUAUUUGCUAACCUCAGUUUAAUAAGUAGAUAUUUAGUAACCUGAAUUCCAUUGUCACACACAUUAAUGAAAUUAAUCUUUUUAUGUGAGUAAAAGGUAAUUGUUAGGAAGCAGCCCAUGUUAGGUUCUGGGUAAGCACUUGAGAAAAAUGAUCGGGUCAGAACCUCAUCAAGCCCUUUGGGACAGGGGUCCCUCUCUCUAUCUGUGGAUGAGAUAUUAAGCCUUACUGUCACCUUGAGAGGUGGCUGCUGCUCAUUACCUCCUCCUCUGCCCUGGACUUACUGUCGGCAAGUGGGCGAGUUUCAACAUUUGAAGUUCUCACUCUUACUUCUGGCAGUGGUUGUGUCUGGCAAGUCAUUAUCAGUUGUGCUUCUCAGUGGAAGCUGGCUGGUGAGAGGGAGGGGUG
rnacentral:lncRNA from 1 species